rnacentral:rRNA from 1 species
GUGAAAUCCCCGGGCUCAACCUGGGAACUGCAUCUGAUACUGGCAAGCUUGAGUCUCGUAGAGGGGGGUAGAAUUCCAGGUGUAGCGGUGAAAUGCGUAGAGAUCUGGAGGAAUACCGGUGGCGAAGGCGGCCCCCUGGACGAAGACUGACGCUCAGGUGCGAAAGCGUGGGGAGCAAACAGGAUUAGAUACCCUGGUAGUCCACGCCGUAAACGAUGUCGACUUGGAGGUUGUGCCCUUGAGGCGUGGCUUCCGGAGCUAACGCGUUAAGUCGACCGCCUGGGGAGUACGGCCGCAAGGUUAAAACUCAAAUGAAUUGACGGGGGCCCGCACAAGCGGUGGAGCAUGUGGUUUAAUUCGAUGCAACGCGAAGAACC